GUGGUGGGCUGAGCCAAGAUGGCUGAGGAGAGAGUUGCGAUGUCCUCCUCCAACUCCUCCUCUCUGCAUGCGCCUCAGAGCCGGUACCAAGAACUGGAAGUAGCCCUGGACUCAAGCUCCGCAACAAUCAAUCAACUCAAUGAAAACGUAGAAUCAUUGGAGAAUCCAAGGAUCUGACCAGCCACCUGCAAUAUUCCUUGCAGCGUAUUGGAGAGUUGGAGCAGGCUCCCUCUGCUGUCUCCAUGCAGCAGCAGGAAGAGGACAGGUGAGAACAAGAGGCACUGCAGUUGGAGCAGCAAGUAAAGGAGCUGCAGGAGAAGCUGAGCGAGGAGAUGAAGGAGGACAUCUGGACACUGAGGAGGAGGAGGUGCCUCAGCCCAUGUCAAGCAUCCUGGAGGACCUGGAGAGCUGGGAGGCCAUGGCCAGGAUCGACAAGAGGAGAUGCUGCCAUGAGACCAGGCUUCAUGGUGUCAGUGGGAAUGGUGGAAGGCGAGAACAGCAGAUGCCAGGUGGUGGCAGGAAACAACAACAACGAGAUGGCCCGCAGAAGGCUGCAACACAAAAUCGCAAUUUCCUAGCCAGUUUUCAGACUGAGACAAUUGAGACCUACAGCUCAUGGAUUGUAGGGGAGUCUGGGUAUUUGUGGAAAAAAUCCUGCAACAUUAUCACAUGGUAUUCAUUAAUUAUUCUCCAGAAGGAUCUGGGGUCAUUGAUAAGAGUAACAGUAACUGAUGAAAAGGGAACACCCAGACUGAGGGUCAUUUACGUAGUAUUAGAGCUGACCCUGACACCAUAAGAUCCACAAUGCCACCAUGUCCCCUCUCCAACAAGACUGAGGACACAUGAAGGCUCGGUAAUAAAUGGAACCCUGGAUGAAGAGACCGCAGUCCCCUCCGGUUGUCAUUUCUCUGUCACUAAAUAUGCAACCGAUACGAGUAUGCUUAGAAGCUAACAGAGCUGUCACUUUACUCCCUGACCUGUGGGUAUGAGCCCCUAUAGUAGGAAGAGCCCAGGGGAAGUCUCUGAAACUCCCUCUUCCCACUUCCAGGAGCAACGCAGUAUUCCAGGUGGAAUCACAGAGAUUUAUCACCUCCCUCAACCUUGACCGCCACCUUAUGGUAGUAUUCUUACAUUUUCCCACCUGUCCCUUGUGCUAUUCUUGUCAUCAUUUUACUUCCACAUGUUAUAAACCCCACAGUAUGUUACUAGUUUUGCCUCAAUGAUUUCUAGACAUCAAAAAAUGAAAAAAUAGGAUCUUUUCAAUGUAUCCAUGUAUUUAUGAUGUCAGUGGUCUCCAUUCCUUUGUGUAGAUCCAAAUUUCUAUCUAGUAUCCUUUUUCUUCUGACCAAAGAGCUGCUUUUAACACUUCUCAGAGUGUAGGCCUGCUGGUGAUCAGCCUGGCUUUUGUGUGAAAAAGUCUUUAUCUUUUCUUCAUUAAAGUUUUUGAAAACUGU